AUGUACCGGUUAGUAUGCGGCAUGCAUGCAAAUCUAACAAUAGAUUCUGCAGAUGACUCUGGAGUGAAUCCGGAGGUCGUGAUAGGGGAUGAGUCGCAUGCUCAACGACAGCUAAAGGCAGGCGAGCGUGUGCUUACACGGGUUAGGCGGGAGAAAAACGAUCUCCAAGACGCCAAUACCCAGCUGGGCGUGGAACUGAAAGAUGUUCGAGCCCAACUUGCUGACUCCGUAAAGGAGAAUAAGCGGCUUCGACGCGGCAUUUUUAGUAAGUGCUUGAACGAACUUUUAAAGAGUUCGGCGAAGAAACCGGCUAACAGAGUUAUGUCUGCAGGUAUGCUAACGGGUCGUCCCGUGGAGGAGAUGCCCGGGGUCUGCGGGUGA
rnacentral:rRNA from 1 species